rnacentral:rRNA from 1 species
GACGACCGCUGGCGGCGUGCCUAAUACAUGCAAGUAGGACGCUGUUGCGAACGGGUGAGUAAAGCGUAGGUAACUGACUAUUAGAGGGGGAUAACUAUUGGAAACGAUAGCUAAUACCGCAUACUAGUAGAUGGACCUGCGGUGUAUUAGCUAGUAGGUAGGGUAAUGGCCUACCUAGGCGACGAUACAUAGCCGACCUGAUAGGGUGAUCGGCCACGCGGGGCCUGAGACACUGCCGGGACGCCGACGGGAGGCAGCAGUAGGGAAUCUUCGGCACGGGGGGGAACCGUGACCGAGCAACGCCGCGGGAGUGAGGAAGGUUGUCGAAUCGUAAAGCGCUGUUGUUAAGGAAGCGGUACUUAACCAGAAAGGGACGGCUAACGACGUGCCAGCAGCCGCGGUAAUUC